UAAUUGAAGAGUUUGAUCAUGGCUCAGAUUGAACGCUGGCGGCAGGCCUAACACAUGCAAGUCGAGCGGUAACAGGGGAAGCUUGCUUCUCGCUGACGAGCGGCGGACGGGUGAGUAAUGUAUGGGGAUCUGCCCGAUAGAGGGGGAUAACUACUGGAAACGGUAGCUAAUACCGCAUAAUCUCUCAGGAGCAAAGCAGGGGAACUUCGGUCCUUGCGCUAUCGGAUGAACCCAUAUGGGAUUAGCUAGUAGGUGAGGUAAUGGCUCACCUAGGCGACGAUCCCUAGCUGGUCUGAGAGGAUGAUC
rnacentral:rRNA from 1 species